rnacentral:tRNA from 1 species
GCGGGCGAUACUUCGUUGGUUGAAAUCUGACUGUUAAUCAGAGAGAUUGGGUUCGAAUCCCCUGCCGCA